UCAAAAACAUCUCCCCCCGAUAAGUUAAUUAUGGGGGGUAGGCCCUGCCCAGUGGAGCUAAUUCUAAACGGAAAGGGUAACUUUUAAAGUAGCGUAGUAAUUUGUCCCUUAAUUAGGGUCUGAAUGAAUGGGUUGACGUGGGAAAACUGUUCUUAAAGAAAUAGGCUGAAAUUUUCUUUUUAGUGAAAAGCCUGAGAUAAUAUUAAAAGACGAGAAGACCCCGUCGAGCUUAAGAGAUAAAGGAAUAUUUUCCUUUUUUCCAGGUUUGUUGGGGUAACAAGGGAGAAAAUAACCUCCAAUUCUUAUUGAAGAUCCACCCAAUGGUGACAAAAAGAAAAAGCUACCGCGGGGAUAACAGCGCAAGACGGCCAGAGAGUUCUUAUCUAAGGCCGUAAGUGCGACCUCGAUGUUGGAUUAAGGUGAGCUUAAGGGUGCAGUAGCUCUUAAAGCGGGACUGAUGUCCUG
rnacentral:rRNA from 1 species